rnacentral:rRNA from 1 species
GGGUUGUGAGGUUAAGCGACUAAGCGUACACGGUGGAUGCCCUGGCAGUCAGAGGCGAUGAAGGACGUGCUAAUCUGCGAUAAGCGUCGGUAAGGUGAUAUGAACCGUUAUAACCGGCGAUUUCCGAAUGGGGAAACCCAGUGUGAUUCGUCACACUAUCAUUAACUGAAUCCAUAGGUUAAUGAGGCGAACCGGGGGAACUGAAACAUCUAAGUACCCCGAGGAAAAGAAAUCAACCGAGAUUCCCCCAGUAGCGGCGAGCGAACGGGGAGCAGCCCAGAGCCUGAAUCAGUGUGUGUGUUAGUGGAAGCGUCUGGAAAGGCGCGCGAUACAGGGUGACAGCCCCGUACACAAAAAUGCACAUGCUGUGAGCUCGAUGAGUAGGGCGGGACACGUGGUAUCCUGUCUGAAUAUGGGGGGACCAUCCUCCAAGGCUAAAUACUCCUGACUGACCGAUAGUGAACCAGUACCGUGAGGGAAAGGCGAAAAGAACCCCGGCGAGGGGAGUGAAAAAGAACCUGAAACCGUGUACGUACAAGCAGUGGGAGCACGCUUAGGCGUGUGACUGCGUACCUUUUGUAUAAUGGGUCAGCGACUUAUAUUCUGUAGCAAGGUUAACCGAAUAGGGGAGCCGAAGGGAAACCGAGUCUUAACUGGGCGUUAAGUUGCAGGGUAUAGACCCGAAACCCGGUGAUCUAGCCAUGGGCAGGUUGAAGGUUGGGUAACACUAACUGGAGGACCGAACCGACUAAUGUUGAAAAAUUAGCGGAUGACUUGUGGCUGGGGGUGAAAGGCCAAUCAAACCGGGAGAUAGCUGGUUCUCCCCGAAAGCUAUUUAGGUAGCGCCUCGUGAAUUCAUCUCCGGGGGUAGAGCACUGUUUCGGCAAGGGGGUCAUCCCGACUUACCAACCCGAUGCAAACUGCGAAUACCGGAGAAUGUUAUCACGGGAGACACACGGCGGGUGCUAACGUCCGUCGUGAAGAGGGAAACAACCCAGACCGCCAGCUAAGGUCCCAAAGUCAUGGUUAAGUGGGAAACGAUGUGGGAAGGCCCAGACAGCCAGGAUGUUGGCUUAGAAGCAGCCAUCAUUUAAAGAAAGCGUAAUAGCUCACUGGUCGAGUCGGCCUGCGCGGAAGAUGUAACGGGGCUAAACCAUGCACCGAAGCUGCGGCAGCGACGCUUAUGCGUUGUUGGGUAGGGGAGCGUUCUGUAAGCCUGCGAAGGUGUGCUGUGAGGCAUGCUGGAGGUAUCAGAAGUGCGAAUGCUGACAUAAGUAACGAUAAAGCGGGUGAAAAGCCCGCUCGCCGGAAGACCAAGGGUUCCUGUCCAACGUUAAUCGGGGCAGGGUGAGUCGACCCCUAAGGCGAGGCCGAAAGGCGUAGUCGAUGGGAAACAGGUUAAUAUUCCUGUACUUGGUGUUACUGCGAAGGGGGGACGGAGAAGGCUAUGUUGGCCGGGCGACGGUUGUCCCGGUUUAAGCGUGUAGGCUGGUUUUCCAGGCAAAUCCGGAAAAUCAAGGCUGAGGCGUGAUGACGAGGCACUACGGUGCUGAAGCAACAAAUGCCCUGCUUCCAGGAAAAGCCUCUAAGCAUCAGGUAACAUCAAAUCGUACCCCAAACCGACACAGGUGGUCAGGUAGAGAAUACCAAGGCGCUUGAGAGAACUCGGGUGAAGGAACUAGGCAAAAUGGUGCCGUAACUUCGGGAGAAGGCACGCUGAUAUGUAGGUGAAGCGACUUGCUCGUGGAGCUGAAAUCAGUCGAAGAUACCAGCUGGCUGCAACUGUUUAUUAAAAACACAGCACUGUGCAAACACGAAAGUGGACGUAUACGGUGUGACGCCUGCCCGGUGCCGGAAGGUUAAUUGAUGGGGUCAGCGCAAGCGAAGCUCUUGAUCGAAGCCCCGGUAAACGGCGGCCGUAACUAUAACGGUCCUAAGGUAGCGAAAUUCCUUGUCGGGUAAGUUCCGACCUGCACGAAUGGCGUAAUGAUGGCCAGGCUGUCUCCACCCGAGACUCAGUGAAAUUGAACUCGCUGUGAAGAUGCAGUGUACCCGCGGCAAGACGGAAAGACCCCGUGAACCUUUACUAUAGCUUGACACUGAACAUUGAGCCUUGAUGUGUAGGAUAGGUGGGAGGCUUUGAAGUGUGGACGCCAGUCUGCAUGGAGCCGACCUUGAAAUACCACCCUUUAAUGUUUGAUGUUCUAACGUGGACCCGUAAUCCGGGUUGCGGACAGUGUCUGGUGGGUAGUUUGACUGGGGCGGUCUCCUCCUAAAGAGUAACGGAGGAGCACGAAGGUUGGCUAAUCCUGGUCGGACAUCAGGAGGUUAGUGCAAUGGCAUAAGCCAGCUUGACUGCGAGCGUGACGGCGCGAGCAGGUGCGAAAGCAGGUCAUAGUGAUCCGGUGGUUCUGAAUGGAAGGGCCAUCGCUCAACGGAUAAAAGGUACUCCGGGGAUAACAGGCUGAUACCGCCCAAGAGUUCAUAUCGACGGCGGUGUUUGGCACCUCGAUGUCGGCUCAUCACAUCCUGGGGCUGAAGUAGGUCCCAAGGGUAUGGCUGUUCGCCAUUUAAAGUGGUACGCGAGCUGGGUUUAGAACGUCGUGAGACAGUUCGGUCCCUAUCUGCCGUGGGCGCUGGAGAACUGAGGGGGGCUGCUCCUAGUACGAGAGGACCGGAGUGGACGCAUCACUGGUGUUCGGGUUGUCAUGCCAAUGGCACUGCCCGGUAGCUAAAUGCGGAAGAGAUAAGUGCUGAAAGCAUCUAAGCACGAAACUUGCCCCGAGAUGAGUUCUCCCUGACUCCUUGAGAGUCCUGAAGGAACGUUGAAGACGACGACGUUGAUAGGCCGGGUGUGUAAGCGCAGCGAUGCGUUGAGCUAACCGGUACUAAUGAACCGUGAGGCUUAACCUUACAACGCCGAAGGUGUUU